rnacentral:rRNA from 1 species
GACGAACGCUGGCGGCGUGCUUAACACAUGCAAGUCGAACGUGAUUAUGCUGGAAGUUCUUUCGGGAACGGAAAGCAUAUGAAAGUGGCGAACGGGUGAGUAACACGUGAGCAACCUACCUUACACAAGGGGAUAGCCAUUGGAAACGGUGAUUAAUACCCUAUGAGACCACGGAAUCGCAUGAUUAAGGGGUUAAAGAUUUAUUGGUGUAAGAUGGGCUCGCGUCUGAUUAGCUAGUUGGAAGGGUAAAGGCCUACCAAGGCAACGAUCAGUAGCCGGUCUGAGAGGAUGAACGGCCACACUGGAACUGAGACACGGUCCAGACUCCUACGGGAGGCAGCAGUGGGGAAUAUUGCACAAUGGGGGAAACCCUGAUGCAGCGACGCCGCGUGAACGAAGAAGGCUUUCGGGUCGUAAAGUUCUGUCCUAUGAGAAGAUAAUGACGGUAUCAUAGGAGGAAGCCCCGGCUAAAUACGUGCCAGCAGCCGCGGUAAUACGUAUGGGGCGAGCGUUGUCCGGAAUUAUUGGGCGUAAAGGGUACGUAGGCGGCCUUUUAAGUCAGGUGUGAAAGCGUGAGGCUUAACCUCAUUAAGCACCUGAAACUGGAAGGCUUGAGUGAAGGAGAGGAAAGUGGAAUUCCUAGUGUAGCGGUGAAAUGCGUAGAUAUUAGGAGGAAUACCGGUGGCGAAGGCGACUUUCUGGACUUUUACUGACGCUCAGGUACGAAAGCGUGGGGAGCAAACAGG